UUGUGUGUGUGAAAAAGGUUUCUUAUUGCCAUCGAGAACCACAAUACUCAGAAGAAACAGUCUAAUCCUGCUAUAGAACUGAUUAAUAAGUUACUUUAGAACCAUUCCAAACUUAUGAAGUUAAUUGUUACCAAAAUAAAAUUCUCAAUAGUCUUGAAAUCGUCCUCAAAAGAUGUAAUUGCACUUACAAAUGAUUGUCAUCAAAAACACCAUGAGUUCUCUUUUUAGAUGUUUUUUUAUAACAUUUCUUGUUAAUAAAUUUGUGCUUUUAGUAGUAAUAUCAAAUCAUAAAA